rnacentral:rRNA from 1 species
CAGUAGCCGCGGGAAUACAGAGGGUGCGAGCGUUAAUCGGAUUUACUGGGCGUAUAGCGUGCGUAGGCGGCUUCUUAAGUCGGAUGUGAAAUCCCUGAGCUUAACUUAGGAAUUGCAUUCGAUACUGGGAAGCUAGAGUAUGGGAGAGGAUGGUAGAAUUCCAGGUGUAGCGGUGAAAUGCGUAGAGAUCUGGAGGAAUACCGAUGGCGAAGGCAGCCAUCUGGCCUAAUACUGACGCUGAGGUACGAAAGCAUGGGGAGCAAACAGGAUUAGAUACCCCUGUAGUCCCUGUCUCUUAUAC